CAAAUGCUCGCUGCCUCUUCUGCUCGCGAUGAACACGAAACAGAGUUCUUUCUUUCUCCCUCUUCAAAAUGAAAGGUGGCUUCCUCCUCUAUUCCCCUCCAUUCCCACCGAUCAAUUCGAGGCGGCCACGACAUACUCCCUCCUUCUUCAAACGAACGGCGGCCAACCCCUCAUUCUUCUCUUUCUCAGAUGUUGGUGGUUCAUCAAAGUCCGACGAGCUUCUCUGAUCAAAAUCUCUCCGAUUCAACUUCCUUUUUCGAUCUCUGAGUUAUUGUUCAUAUGUUGUUGGUGCUGAAUUCGAUCUUGUUCGGAGCCCGUUGCAUUCAGUUUCGUGUUUGAUUCGAGAUGAGCAUUAAUGGUUGUUGAGGAUGAAUGUUGCGGUGGUGAAGCUGAGUAGAAACUCACGGUUUUAACAUCUGGUGAGAUCUUUCCGAUUCUGUUCUGUGUUUUUGAAUCUACAGAUCUGUCUUUCUUCGUCUCUUUUACACUAUCUCCGAUUCAAUUUUCUGAAGGUUUUGAUUGUUUUGAGAAAAAGAUGAUUUAGGGUUCUGAUUGUUGGUUUUGCGGCUAGGUUUGAAGAUGAUGAACAAUAGUUUCUUUUGGGAAUUUUGCAAUGAUUGUUUUUAUAUGCAGGAAAUUUGGUUUUCUUCUAUUAACAAGCCUGUUCUGAAAUUCUUUAUUGGGCUUUUCAAAUGUUUUUUUGAUCUUGUGGUAAUCUUAUUCCUUUGGUACUGAACUGUAGAUGUGAUGGUAUUUUUUGUUUUUGUUUAGUUUCAGUUUUAUGAAUAUGUAAGCUUCUCCCUGCUGGUCCCAUGCUGCAGAGAAGUUCUAUGAAACAAGGGUCAGUUCUUCGGAUUUCAUCAUACUUGUCAACAAGUUCAUAAAGAGCCUUGAUUGUUCUUACUCUGCUGGAAUGAUUAUUCUUAUUAAUAUAUAAUUCUAAUUAUUAUUCUUAUGUCAUACAAUAUAGAAUUUUAAAAUAUGAAGAUGAUCUCAAGUACAUCAGCAUUAGGCUCCAAUUUAUAUAAAGGUCAAGAAGCAGUGACUGAAUUGACAAAUGCUGGUCAAGAAAGUGUGAUCAAUGCACCACUUACGUAUCUCAAAGAAAAAGCUAAGC